rnacentral:rRNA from 1 species
AUUGAACGCUGACGGCAUGCCUUACACAUGCAAGUCGAACGGUAACAGGUCUUCGGAUGCUGACGAGUGGCGAACGGGUGAGUAAUACAUCGGAACGUGCCUAGUAGUGGGGGAUAACUACUCGAAAGAGUGGCUAAUACCGCAUGAGAUCUACGGAUGAAAGCAGGGGAUCGCAAGACCUUGUGCUACUAGAGCGGCCGGUGGCAGAUUAGGUAGUUGGUGGGAUAAAAGCUUACCAAGCCGACGAUCUGUAGCUGGUCUGAGAGGACGAUCAGCACCACUGGGACUGAGACACGGCCCAGACUCCUACGGGAGGCAGCAGUGGGGAAUUUUGGACAAUGGGCGCAAGCCUGAUCCAGCAAUGCCGCGUGCAGGAUGAAGGCCUUCGGGUUGUAAACUGCUUUUGUACGGAACGAAAAGCCGUGGGUUAAUACCCUGGGGUCAUGACGGUACCGUAAGAAUAAGCACCGGCUAACUACGUGCCAGCAGCCGCCGUAAAAC